rnacentral:rRNA from 1 species
CCUACGGGAGGCAGCAGUGGGGAAUUUUUGGCAAUGGGGGAAACCCUGACCAAGCAACGCCGCGUGGAUGAUGAGGUAUCUUGGUACGUAAAAUCCUUUUCGACAGGGAAGAAACCGCAAGGUUGACGGUACCUGUAGAAGAAGCCCCGGCUAACUCCGUGCCAGCAGCCGCGGUAAUACGGGGGGGGCAAGCGUUGUUCGGAAUUACUGGGCGUAAGGGCGCGUAGGCGGUUUGUUAAGUUGGAUGUGAAAACUGUGGGCUCAACCCAUAGCCUGCAUCCAAUACUGACAGGCUAGAGUUCUGGAGGGGAUAGCGGAAUUCCUGGUGUAGCGGUGAAAUGCGUAGAUAUCAGGAGGAACACCGGUGGCGAAGGCGGCUAUCUGGACAGAGUCUGACGCUGAGGCGCGAAAGCUAGGGGAGCAAACAGGAUUAGAUACCCUGGUAGUCCUAGCCCCAAACGACUGGAUACUUAGCUGUGACUGGGAUUGAAUCCAGUCGUGGCGAAGCUAACGCAUUAAGUAUCCGCCUGGGGAUACGGUCGCAAGGCUGAAACUCAAAGGAAUUGACG